rnacentral:rRNA from 1 species
UACGGAGGUUCCAAGCGUUGUUCGGAAUUACUGGGCGUAAAGGGGGCGCAGGCGGCCUGGUCAGUGGAAAGUGGAAGCCCGGGGCUCAACCUCGGAAGGCCUUUCCAUACUGCCUGGCUUGAGUUCGUGAGAGGGAAGCGGAAUUCAGGGUGUAGCGGUGAAAUGCUUAGAUAUCCUGAGGAACACCGAUGGCGAAAGCAGCUUCCUGGCACGAUACUGACGCUCAUGCCCGAAAGCGUGGGGAGCGAACAGG